rnacentral:tRNA from 1 species
GCGCCGCUAGCUCAGUUGGUAGAGCAGCUGACUCUUAAUCAGCGGGUCCUAGGUUCGAGUCCUAGGCGGCGCA